AACCAGCUGCCUGCCUGGCACAGAGGACUUCUGCUGGCCCCCCUCCCCGGGACUGCGGGGCUCUUUACUCCGCCGCCCCCUCCCCCAUGGCACAAGGCAGAGCGCUCACUUAGAUUAAUUAAUCUGCUGCCCGGCCUGCUCCUCUGGCCCAUCUUUUAUUCAUGGACAAGCGGCGUUCUCUGCUUUACCAGGACGCGAGCAUCAAUAUUUCAUCCUUGCUUCGCCUGCCAGCAUCCCGCUCCCUCCUCCCUGCUUCUCACCGGCUCUAGGGCCCGGAGAGCUGGGCCACGCUGGCCUGACCCAGGGCGUCAUCACAGAUGUCCACGCUGCCUUCAGCUUGCCCGCCGUGCCAUCGUGGACUCCAGAGUCUGCGCAAGAAGCCGCCCUUCUGAAUUCAGAAAAGGGACGUUCUUCCCAGGUCCGUGUGGUGUCUGGUGGGCCGGCUCAGGACACCAGGAGGUGGCUGGCUGGGGACCAGUGCUUCCUCCUGGUCCCUCUUCUGCACCUCUCUGGCUCUCUGUCUCUGGCAUCUUCACCUCUAGCUCUGUGGCUCUGCUGCCUGCUUCCUUCAGUCCCUUCUGGACCUGCCUUCUCACUGGCAUGGCUGAAGAUGGGGCCCCGCUACUCUUUCGCUUUGAUGAAAUAAAUCAUUUGUACGUUAAAUCUUAUUUACGCAUUCUUGUAAACUACUUCAGACUCUUUUGGCAGCAAGAUGUACAUAGAUUACUGCUUAGGGAUGAGUGCGCAUAUGUGUGUGUGGGGGGUGGGGUGGGGCUGGCUCUCCCUGGAGAGAAGGGGCCAAGAGGAGACAGGACUCCCCAGAGGGAGGAAGCUGAAGUGACAAACCUCCUGUGCCGGAGGAGGGUCCUGCCUGCCAGCCCUCCUGACAGGCCCUCUUUAAGAGUCAAUUUGAUCUGCUCAGCCACAGCCCAGUGAUCACUUGGCCCUGGUGUAUUUCAUCACCAGCCUGCUGUCUCCUGAUAAAUUCCCCCUCCCAAGCCCCCGCUGGCCAGUCUUGGGCUUCACAGCCUCAUUCCGGGAUCAAAUCAUGGACCAUUUGUCCUUGGCCCCCUCUUACCAUCACUGGGGCUGGCGUGACCUCUGCAUCUGAAGUUAGGGGACAGGAGAAGGGAUAGAUGGGCUUGAGCAAUUGGCACAGAGGGCCAGAGGUGGGGGACAUUCAGGGGACGAUGAGGAGGCUUUGGCUGGGGGGUGGGAUGCUGGCCAAUGGGUCACAGAUGUACCCGUGUCUCUCAGUCUUGAACCACAGCUUCCCUCCAUCAUCACUGCAGCUUUGAACAACUAAACUAGACUCUUGGGGGUUGGGCAGGGGUGUGACCAAGAGAGAAGGGGGCUUUGGCCUGAAAACCAGAGGCAAAGGCACCCUCACUGUGGGCUCGUGUUUGGAGGGUCUCACCCUGACCCUUAGCCUCCUGCCCCUAACAUACCCUGUGGUCUCAGAAGGGGAGCCUCAGUAGGGGUAGCAACUUCCUUGGUGCCAUUGCUGAGGCUGUAAGAGGUCACUGCUAAUAGUUACGUACCUCUAAACAAGUUAAGUAACUUCUCUGUGCCUCAGUGUUAGCAUCUGCACAUUGGGGAUAAGGCUUCUCACAGAGUUGUUGUAAAGAUUAAGAUUACCUAAAAAUUCAGCAGAAUGUCUGCAUACAGUAAGUACUCAGUAAGUGGUAGCCACUAUUAUUAUCAUUUGUGACACUCUAGAAGGUCCUUCCCACCCCUGUAUCUCUUUCUUACAUGCAUAGCUUAAAAGUCCUUCUCUGCUUAUUUCUUUGAAUGAUAGUUCUUCCAAAGCUCCAAUGAAGAAACUCAAAAUAGCACUUGACAAGACCGUGUGAAGGUUAAGAACAGGGACUUGAGGUCUAAUGCUUCACCUCGUCUGCUGUGUGGCCUUGGGCAGCUCCCUAGCCUCUCUGAGCCUUGAUUCUUUUUCUUUUGAUGAGAUAACAGAUCCAGAUGUGGGCUUCAUUUUUUUUCUUCCAAUAUUUAUUUUUAAAUAUUUGGCUUCACCGGGUCUUAGUUGCUACAUGUAGAUUCUUUAGUUGUGGCUUGUGAACUCUUAGUUGCAGAUGUGGGAUCUAUUAAUAGUUCCUGACCAGGAAUUGGGAGUGUGGAGUCUUAGCCUCUGGACCAUCAGGGAAAUCCCUCUAGGGUUCUUUUGAACACGAAACAAGAUCAAGUGUUUAAGACAUUCAGCGUGGUGUGCGGCGUGGCCUGCGUGGUUGAGCAACAGGAGGCUGUCACUUUGCAAGGUGCUGGUCACACAUCACUGCAUCAAGGCUGCCCUCAAUUCUGAGCCGGCAGUGCAGGGUUCACCACGCCCCUGCUGGGGGAGAAGACUGAGGUCAUGAGAGGGGAAGUGACUUUCCAAGCUGGGCUGGACCUUGGCCUCCCGGCUUGGAUACUGGCCUUCAGAGCCUGGCUCAGGUGGCCAUCACUCUUGAAGUGAUGUGAGGAAUCAGAGGCUUUGCUCCUGACCUGAGGCCAGGAGGGAGGGAAGGGGGCCGGCAGGGGCAGUUGUAGGUCUGAGUGUGAGGUUACAGAUGGGGCUGGGGAGGGGACUUCAGGAGUCACAGCGAACCUUCCCCUUCACAUCUUUGCCCCAACCCAGCCCACUCUUUGCUGCUGUGUGAGCGACCCCAUGCACCCUCCUCCUGCAGCUCCCAGGGCUUUGCUCUGGGCUCAGGGGCAGUGGGUGGCUAGAAUAGAGCCCUUCCGCAGGACUGGAAGUGGUGUGUCUGCCCUCUGCCCCCUGGGGCAUGGCCUUCUCUGGUGCCUCCCAGGCUCAGGAGGCUAGAGACUGGCCCUGACCCAGGGAAAAGCUUUAGACAUGAUUUCAUUUUUUAUUGAGAUUGUAAGUGGUGGGGGAAAAGACAAGUAAAAAAAUAGCCCAUCUGGGCUGAGCAGGGGAGAAAGCAAUUUCCUUCUGAAAUCUCCUUUUCUCUGAUUCUCAAAAUAUUAGAAGAAAAUUUAGAAAUGUCUUGGUGCCUCUGGCUGGGGUGUGGGCCAGACCACCUAAGAGUCACUAGGGUGGGGUCCAGAGAGGUGGCUGGGGAGUGGUGAGGAGGAACCAAGGCCUUUUGAGUUCCAGUCCAAGCCUCAAGGCCAGGCGGGGUGGGUGGGGUGGGGGUGGGUGGAGGGUGGGGUGGGGGGAUCGUGGGGCAGAGGGAGCGCUGAGGAUGGAGGGUGACAGGGACUGGCAGGGGUCGGAGGUCCUGGUGGGCAGAAGGGAGGAGGAAGAAACAGCAGAGACUCCCAGGCUGCUGGGGCCGGGGGUCAUCCAGCACCUAAAGGAAGUCCGUGCCUGGGGUCAGCGUCUCAGGAGAUCUCAUGGGGCAGAAGCACAGAUCCAUCCUGAAGGACAGGACGUUCUAAUCCCCUUCCUGGAAGGACCCACAGGUGCUGGGUAGUCAGGUGGUCCCUCGGAGGCCUUGUCAGGGACUGCAGGGCAAGCGUGGUAAAGGGCCAGCCUGAGCCUGUCCUCUCGGGCCAUUCUCCACGUUCCCCAGAUGCCCCCUCCUCAGCCUCUGCUUCUGUGAGUGGGCGUGGUCCAGUAGGCAUGGCAUAGCUGUGAGGAUUCCAGCUUGGGGGGCAGAAUGGGCCCUAGCGGGUGGGGCAGAAAUAGAGGCUGAGGCUCACUGUAGGGGCUUCCUCUGGUCUUGUCCUUUCCUAUGACAUGGUGCUAACCCCAUGUCCUAAAGCACCAACCCUCCAACUAACCCAUCAGCCACCAGAGUCUGCCAACUUGCCAAUUAAGCCAUCACCUCACUAACCAAUCCAGGAACCACCAGCCAGCACAUCACCUACUGUACCUGGUGCCAUUACACCACCCUGGCAACCCUCUAAGCAGCUACCAACCAACCCACCAACCAGAAAACCCACCAACCCGUCUGCCAACUCAGCUGCUCUCCCACCACUCUACCACCCCACUAACCAGCCUAUCAACCAACUCACCAGUCAACCCAUACCUCACCGUCCAAUCUGAAGAUAGAAGCUACACAGUAAUUGAACAGGAAAGGCUUGGUAUAAAGAAUUACUGACUGGAAUAGGGGCUGACUUACUAAGGGUUACCUACUGUCUGUUUUAAUAGGAGACUGAUUUGCUUACUCUAAAGAAACAUGGGAAUAGCAGCUGUGGG
ensembl:lncRNA